rnacentral:lncRNA from 1 species
AAGUUGUGAAAAUCCUGUCUGAUAAUAACUAAUUCAAUCUGUAGAUAAUUAUCUGCAUAUUUCCCAGAAUUCACUGAAUAAAAUGCUGAGCCCAAAUUGCUCUUUAGUAUAAAUUCAUUAAAAGCAGGAAAGUUUUAGAGAUAUUCAAAAUAGAAAUAGUUUAGGGACCAAGAAUUUAUCAGUUUAGGCUUUCCCUGUUCCAUGCAGAUCAUUUGGAGUUGAAGUCCUUAAUUAAGGAAUAUGUCAGAUGAGUAUUUUGUAAUUUCCUUAUGCUUCUAGGACAUUUUUGUACCUUGGUUGGCACAACUUUUAGUUAUAGUUAAAUCCAUAUAUAUUCAUCUUCUUCACUAGACUCGAAAAUCCCUUAUGCCAAGGAAUCUCACAGAAGAAUUCUGAUCCUCUUUUGUUUCCAGUUCAGGGCGUUCAGGUGGUUGAGGGAGCUUCACUCCUUCAUCUUGGACGUCAUCUGCUGGCUUCCAGUGCAAGUCCCUCAGCCUUUUGGCACAGAUGUUUCAGCUUCCAGCACUGGCCCUUAGGCCUUCCCAGCACAGAUCCUUCAGUCUCCCAUCACGGAUCCUUCAGUCUCCUGAUAUGGACUUGCAUGGGACAUUGCCAUGGGCUCCAAGCCCUCCACUGGAUCCUUUGGGUCUCCAGCUUACAGACAGUUGUCUUGCACUCUCCUCCAUCUGACUCUGAUUGCAAGAUGGUAAGAAGAAAGUCCAGCUAUUCCUGGAGGAACGAAAGAGAAACAGUGCAAGCUAGAGUCUUGGGAGAGGUAAAGCCCCCAGCUCUCCUAGGCCGGGAUGGCGUUGUGAUGACUUCAGAGGACAGUGUGAGAGGCCACCCACCACACCUAUGUCACUGAAUGAGAAGUUCUGGAAACCUCCGGGCCUCUGUGUGAGAUUCUUCCUGGCAGACAGAGUGCUCUGGGGAUGGAGGGCUGUGGAGAUGGCAUGUUCUGCCACCUGGUGCCCUGAUUCUGCCCGUCCCACAGACAGUGGUGCACAGGGGUUGGUACCCACCUGGCAGAAAGGAGCAGGGAAGAGGUGCCCAGCUUAGAGAGGAUGCCACACUCCUGAGGCUGAACUUGUUGCAGAGAGAGAGGCUCUGGCGUGCUUGGCAGUAGCAGAGGCUGUGCUGGGGCUGCUUCUGGGUGAGGGACACACAGGAGGGUGGCAGCACCGUGUUCUGAAAAGCAGCAUCAAUCACAGCUAUGCCCUCUGACCACUCUCGAAAGUCAGCCUUGGACACAGUAGGUGUGCUCUAGGGAUUUUCUGGGAAGGGGAAUGUGGACACUGGGUUUGAAGCCAGUAUCUCAAACAUACGAAGUGCAGGCUUUCCCACUGGGUUACACCCCCAGCCCAAGACGAGCUUUCGAAGAGGGGAUUCUGGAGCUGGGAAGGAGCAGCACAUUCACUAAGCACAUUUCACAGGCUCUCUGGCUCAUCAGGUUGCAGACCAGACACACUCAAUAAAUACGUGAACUGUCCUUAGAGUAAACAGAAAAAUGAUGCUAGUUAUUCUGGGACUGGAGACAAGAAGAACAAGUCAGAUCUGAACAGAAAAUGAUAAAACCUGCCCUAGUCAAAGCCAAAACACAUCUGUGGGUCAUAUUCUAUUUCUCUAUAUCCUGUAUAACUUCUGUCUAGUGGGUAUGUCUGAUUCUGAAAUAAAUAUACUGGAAAUAUCUUAGUUAUAUUUUUGUCAUUCUCCAUGGAUUUAUUUGUAUUUGAUGUUAAUUUAUCUACACACUUCUUUAUAUCAAAUUUCUACAUAUGCAUAUAUAUACAUAAAAUAGCAUUAAUUUGAAUGCUUCUAGCUCUAUGUAAAUAGUGUAAUUAUUUAUAUUAUUAUACAGCUCACUUUAAAAGGAGACAUCCCACUAGGGCCCAUAUUUAAUAAUAUGCAAGGAAAUGAGGCUAUUUUCUAUGAAAUUUUAAGCAAGCAGAAAGGAUCUGGAAUGCUUUGAAAAGAUGAACAUUUAAAAAAUUCAAAUAAUUUUAUCAAGCAGAAAUGAUUUCUUGUCAAAGGAAAGUAGGCAGGAAUAUUAAAAUACUAAACUGACACAGUUCCCAAAAUAAUUCAAUAAAACUAAAAUCCCUAUUCAAAUGCAUAAGUUCAGAACAUUCUUUGAAAGCUGAAUAGUGAAAGUUCAUGAGAAUUGUUUAUUCUUUCAUCGUUUCCUUUUAAACUGCUCUUUGAAUAGCUGUUGUACAUACAAAACAGGACUCAUCAGUAACUAGUUUCCAUUUUAAAAUAUAUAUUACGAUGAUCAGAAGCAAUUGUUAGAGGAAAUCUCAGGCCACAAUAUUAAUGAAAAACUGUUUUCCCCCGUAUUAACAUCAGAGAGGAGCAAUUGGGCUGUGUAUUUGUCCAUUAGAAAAUCACUUGACACUGAGCAAUUUAACUGGAAAUUUUUAGUUUGGAACCAAUUUCUACUGGCAUGCAAGACUCCAAGACCUUAUAAAAGAAAGAAGACUUCAUGGCUUUAUUAGUGGUGUGAGCUAUGGUCUUUGUUUCCCUUUUUAAAAACUUUGUUCUAUUUUCCCUCAACUUUCUCAUAUUUUGAGAAAGGACACUUAAAUUUGCAACAUUUUAAAUUUAAGUAUUGUGUCCACAUACAUAAUCCUAGUAUUAAAAAUUCUUUUACUGAGCCUGGAGGACAUUACAUAAACCAAGAUAAUCAGGCACUGAAAGACAAAUAAAUGUGCAAGUUCCUACUUGUGUGGAAGCUGAAGCUGAUCUUGUAGAAGUUGAGUGGAAUAGUGGUUACCACAACCUGGGGAGGGUUGAGGGGCCACAGAAUGGAAACGAUGGUUAAUGGGCACUGAGAUGCAAUUGCAUAGGAGAAGUGACUUCUAGAUGUAGCGCAGAGGGAUAACUAUGGUUGACAACAAUUACUUGUGUAUCUCAGAUAGCUGGCAGAGAAGAUUUUCAGAUAUUCCCAGCACAGAAAAAUAAUAAAUGUUUGGAAUGAUGGCUAUGCCAAUUACCUGAAUUGAUCACUACACUUUGUACAGAUGUAUUGAAAUGUUACCUGUACCCCCAAAACAUGUAUUAUAGACAGCUAAGCUAGGUAGAAAUAUUAUAGGCAGUCAGAUGGGGCCAGGCCCUCGACAGAGUCAGCACAAAAGAUAAGAACACAUUACACAUUACAGUAGCCGGAGAUGCAUCCAUUGGAGAACAGGCCUCAAAAUAAAGAUGAAAUGACCAGGCCUGCAUACUUCUGCAAAAGACAAGAUAAGAGGUCACACCUGGCCUAGUGAGAUCUAGAUAGACAUUAGUCACCCUGGUGGGUGACCAGGACCUCUGGAUGCAUCAUUCCUUAAAAAAGUCUUUGUUCUUUCCAUGCACACUUGUUGCAUGACUUGUUCCCCCACUGGAUCACUAUGACCUAAGUGAUUAUACUUGUAACCUUAUUGAUUAUGCUUUAUAAAGCUUUCCUGUCAAGUGGGGUCCUUGGCUACCCAUUCGGGACCCCUCCUGCCUCUCAGGAGCGAUCCUCUCAAUAAAUCCUUCCUACUUGUAACCUCCCUUGUUCCUAAAAUUCAUUCU